AUGGUGGCUGUGCAGAGGUCAUGGGUAUCCCAAUCCUCCUUCAGGAGUAAAGUGACUGAAAUUUCACCUUCUGGGCAAGGGGUCUGUUUGAUCUCUUGUUUGUACAUUAUUUCCACUCUUCCCCUUCCAGAGGAACUUGCUGUCCUGAUGAAGAGAGCCCUCCCUCCUGGCACACAGCACAGACCCUUGGAAGGAGGGAUCAACAGAACACAGAAGUCCCUAUCUCGGACAUAGCACUUCUCAUCCCUUUAAAAUAUACAGAACAGUCACCUUAAACUAGACAUAAGCCAGAGCUGGAUGCCUAAGAUUUGGGGUUUUGCUGUCCUCUAGAGACUGGGUCUUUGGUUCAGGCUUGUAUGAUAGCAUGGUUUGACCUGGAGUCAGGACACCCAAGGAGCAUGCAUCCCAGCCCUGGCCAAGCUUUGCUGUCUCUCUCUGUGUCAGUGUCUGGGAAAUGACCUGUAGGGUUUUCUUUAUUGUUGUUGCUGUUGUUUUUUCUGAAUUGCCUUUUAUUUUAUUUAUUUAUUUUUUUUCUUCUAGCACCUCCUUACUGGUUCUUUAUAUUCUCUUCUCUUCCUGCUGUGAUGUUAAGUCCUCAACAAGACAUUCAGAAGACCCUGGGACAUAUUCUGCUUUAACUGUCAGUUACUAAAUUCUUCCUAAUGAAUCAAAAUAGGCAUUCUGAGAGAGCUCUGAAUAAUUUCUUUUUCUCCUGUAGUCUCCCCUUCAGACACAUAGAGAUGCCAGUCUUUCCACCCUGCAGAUCAUCCUUUCUCUCCCACAUUUUGGCCAAAAUAGAACACAUAAUUCUUUUGAUAUACCCCUACAUAAAUCAGUCUCUCUAGCUAAUCCAUCAUUUUGCUGUGCUGCACGGAGUUCCUUCCAAUUUGUUCUCACUACUGUUACUGAGCUGUCCAGAACUGAAUGCAAUAUUAAUAUUCCACACACUGUAUAUAGUGCUUGUCAGGCAAAGAUUAGGAGCCUUAUGAAGAUUGAUUAUUUAAACCUCCCAAUGCCACCAGUAAUCAUGGACUCAGUGCCUAUUACUACCUCAAACCUGAAAAAUUCCACUCAUCUACUUAUCAAGGUCAAUUCUUGUUUUUGAUGGUUGAGUGAAAUAUUAGCUUUCCUUAUCCUCAGAACAGCAAAGGGUAAGCCAGUAGACUUUGGCAUCCAGCCACAAAAUGUCUCGUAUCAUAACAGCAUU
rnacentral:lncRNA from 1 species